GAACGGGUAGCUCAGUGUAGAGCGGACGACUCUUAAUCGUCAGGUCGGAUGGUUCAAAUCCAUCCCCCGUUCUCCA
rnacentral:tRNA from 1 species